rnacentral:rRNA from 1 species
ACGGUGAGGGAUGAAAGCUGGGGGAGCAAACCGGAUUAGAUACCCGGGUAGUCCCAGCUGUAAACCAUGCAAACUCAGUGAUGCAUUGGCUUGUGGCCAAUGCAGUGCUGCAGGGAAGCCGUUAAGUUUGACGCCUGGGAAGUACGCACGCAAGUAUGAAACUUAAAGGAAUUGGCGGGGGAGCACCAAAAGGGGUGAAGCCUGCGGUUCAAUUGGAGUCAACGCCA